GAUGAACGCUGGCUACAGGCUUAACACAUGCAAGUCGAGGGGUCUUUUGGAGCUUGCUUUAAAAGACGACCGGCGCACGGGUGAGUAACGCGUAUCCAACCUGCCCUUCAUAUUGGGAUAGCCUUCCGAAAGGAAGAUUAAUACCGAAUAACAUAGAGUGGUUGCCUGAUUUCUCUAUGAAAGCUCCGGCGAUGAAGGAUGGGGAUGCGUUCCAUUAGGUAGUGGGCGGGGUAACGGCCCACCUAGCCGACGAUGGAUAGGGGUUCUGAGAGGAAGGUCCCCCACACUGGAACUGAGACACGGUCCAGACUCCUACGGGAGGCAGCAGUGAGGAAUAUUGGUCAAUGGGCGCAAGCCUGAACCAGCCAAGUAGCGUGAAGGAUGACUGCCCUAUGGGUUGUAAACUUCUUUUAUACGGGAACAAACCUUGGUACGUGUACCAAAUUGCGUGUACCGUAUGAAUAAGCAUCGGCUAACUCCGUGCCAGCAGCCGCAGUAACAC
rnacentral:rRNA from 1 species